GAACGCUGGCGGUAUGCUUAACACAUGCAAGUCGAACGGGAUGCUUAGGCAUCUAGUGGCGGACGGGUGAGUAACGCGUGAGAAUCUGGCUCCAGGUCGGGGAUAACAGUUGGAAACGACUGCUAAUACCGGAUGUGCCGAGAGGUGAAAGAUUUAUCGCCUGGAGAUGAGCUCGCGUCUGAUUAGCUAGUUGGCGGUGUAAGGGACCACCAAGGCAUCGAUCAGUAGCUGGUCUGAGAGGAUGAUCAGCCACACUGGGACUGAGACACGGCCCAGACUCCUACGGGAGGCAGCAGUGGGGAAUUUUCCGCAAUGGGCGAAAGCCUGACGGAGCAAUACCGCGUGAGGGAGGAAGGCUCUUGGGUCGUAAACCUCUUUUCUCAAGGAAGAAGAAAGUGACGGUACUUGAGGAAUAAGCAUCGGCUAACUCCGUGCCAGCAGCCGCGGUAAUACGGAGGAUGCAAGCGUUAUCCGGAAUGAUUGGGCGUAAAGGGUCUGCAGGUGGAACUGAAAGUCUGCUGUUAAAGAGUUUGGCUUAACCAAAUAAAAGCGGUGGAAACUACAGAACUAGAGUGCGGUAGGGGCAAAAGGAAUUCCUGGUGUAGCGGUGAAAUGCGUAGAUAUCAGGAAGAACACCGGUGGCGAAAGCGUUUUGCUAGACCGUAACUGACACUGAGGGACGAAAGCUAGGGGAGCGAAUGGGAUUAGAUACCCCAGUAGUCCUAGCCGUAAACGAUGGAUACUAGGCGUGGCUUGUAUCGACCCGAGCCGUGCCGGAGCUAACGCGUUAAGUAUCCCGCCUGGGGAGUACGCACGCAAGUGUGAAACUCAAAGGAAUUGACGGGGGCCCGCACAAGCGGUGGAGUAUGUGGUUUAAUUCGAUGCAACGCGAAGAACCUUACCAAGGCUUGACAUCCUGCGAAUCCUGGUGAAAGCUGGGAGUGCCUUAGGGAGCGCAGAGACAGGUGGUGCAUGGCUGUCGUCAGCUCGUGUCGUGAGAUGUUGGGUUAAGUCCCGCAACGAGCGCAACCCUCGUUUUUAGUUGCCAGCAUUAAGUUGGGCACUCUAGAGAGACUGCCGGUGACAAACCGGAGGAAGGUGAGGAUGACGUCAAGUCAGCAUGCCCCUUACGUCUUGGGCUACACACGUACUACAAUGCUACGGACAGAGGGCAGCGAGCCAGGGAUGGCAAGCGAAUCCAGAAACCGUAGCUCAGUUCAGAUCGAAGGCUGCAACUCGCCUUCGUGAAGGAGGAAUCGCUAGUAAUUGCAGGUCAGCAUACUGCAGUGAAUUCGUUCCCGGGCCUUGUACACACCGCCCGUCACACCAUGGAAGUUGGUCACGCCCGAAGUCAUUACCCCAACCGAAAGGAGGGGGA
rnacentral:rRNA from 1 species